rnacentral:rRNA from 1 species
AACGAACGCUGGCGGCGUGUUUAAGACAUGCAAGUCGCACGGUGUCAUUUUGGUAGCAAUACUUGGAUGGCACAGUGGCGCACGGGUGAGUAACACGUGAAUUACAUGCCCUGUAGAGGGGGAUAGCCCAGGGAAACUUGGAUUAAUACCCCAUGGUCUCGCAAGAGUAAAGGUGGCCGCAAGGCUGUCGCCACAGGAUUGGUUCGCGCCCUAUCAGCUUGUUGGCGGGGUAACGGCCCACCAAGGCUACGACGGGUACCUGGUCUGAGAGGACGAUCAGGCACACUGGAACUGAGACACGGUCCAGACACCUACGGGUGGCAGCAGUCGAGAAUAAUGCACAAUGGGGGCAACCCUGAUGGUGCAACGCCGCGUGGAGGAUGACGGUCUUCGGAUUGUAAACUCCUGUCAUCCGGAAGUAAGACCUGGGGAUGAAUAGUGGACAGGGUUGAUAGUACCGGAAGAGGAAGGGACGGCUAACUUCGUGCCAGCCGCCGCGGUAAAAC